rnacentral:tRNA from 1 species
GCUUCUGUAGUGUAGUCCGGUCAAUUUGAAUGAUAGUUAUAGAAUACUAUGAUUAAGACCAAGCAUCUGAGGCUCUCACCCUCGGAACCCGGGUUCGAAUCCCGGCAGAAGCA